UACGUAGGGUGCGAGCGUUAAUCGGAAUUACUGGGCGUAAAGCGUGCGUAGGCGGUUCGCUGUGUCCGAUGUGAAAGCCCCGGGCUUAACCUGGGAAUGGCAUUGGAAACUGGCGGGCUUGAGUGCGGCAGAGGGGGGUGGAAUUCCGCGUGUAGCAGUGAAAUGCGUAGAUAUCGUGAGGAACACCAGAGGCGAAGGCGACUACCUGGACAAUUGCUGACACUCAGGCACGAAAGCAUGGGGAGCAAAAGGG
rnacentral:rRNA from 1 species